rnacentral:rRNA from 1 species
GACGAACGCUGGCGGCGUGCCUAAUACAUGCAAGUAGAACGCUGAAGGAGGAGCUUGCUUCUCCGGAUGAGUUGCGAACGGGUGAGUAGCGCGUAGGUAACCUGCCUGGUAGCGGGGGAUAACUAUUGGAAACGAUAGCUAAUACCGCAUAACAGUAGAUGUUGCAUGACAUUUGCUUAAAAGGUGCAAUUGCAUCACUACCAGAUGGACCUGCGUUGUAUUAGCUAGUUGGUGGGGUAACGGCUCACCAAGGCGACGAUACAUAGCCGACCUGAGAGGGUGAUCGGCCACACUGGGACUGAGACACGGCCCAGACUCCUACGGGAGGCAGCAGUAGGGAAUCUUCGGCAAUGGACGGAAGUCUGACCGAGCAACGCCGCGUGAGUGAAGAAGGUUUUCGGAUCGUAAAGCUCUGUUGUAAGAGAAGAACGAGUGUGAGAGUGGAAAGUUCACACUGUGACGGUAUCUUACCAGAAAGGGACGGCUAACUACGUGCCAGCAGCCGCGGUAAUACGUAGGUCCCGAGCGUUGUCCGGAUUUAUUGGGCGUAAAGCGAGCGCAGGCGGUUAGAUAAGUCUGAAGUUAAAGGCUGUGGCUUAACCAUAGUACGCUUUGGAAACUGUUUAACUUGAGUGCAAGAGGGGAGAGUGGAAUUCCAUGUGUAGCGGUGAAAUGCGUAGAUAUAUGGAGGAACACCGGUGGCGAAAGCGGCUCUCUGGCUUGUAACUGACGCUGAGGCUCGAAAGCGUGGGGAGCAAACAGG